AUUGAACGCUGGCGGAAUGCUUUACACAUGCAAGUCGAACGGUAGAGGGGGCAACCCCUCGAGAGUGGCGAACGGGUGAGUAAUAUAUCGGAACGUGCCCAGUCGUGGGGGAUAACGUAGCGAAAGUUACGCUAAUACCGCAUACGGUCUAAGGAUGAAAGCGGGGGAUCGCAAGACCUCGCGCGAUUGGAGCGGCCGAUAUCAGAUUAGGUAGUUGGUGGGGUAAAGGCUCACCAAGCCAACGAUCUGUAGCUGGUCUGAGAGGACGACCAGCUACACUGGAACUGAGAGACGGUCCAGACUCCUACGGGAGGCAGCAGUGGGGAAUUUUGGACAAUGGACGCAAGUCUGAUCCAGCCAUUCCGCGUGCAGGAUGAAGGCCCUCGGGUUGUAAACUGCUUUUGUACGGAACGAAAAGGUCUCUCUUAAUACGGGGGACUCAUGACGGUACCGUAAGAAUAAGCACCGGCUAACUACGUGCCAGCCGCCGCCGUAA
rnacentral:rRNA from 1 species